rnacentral:tRNA from 1 species
GCGGGUGUAGUUUAGUGGCAAAACACCACUCUUCCAAAGUGGUUUCGUCGGUUCGAUUCCGUCCACCCGCACCA